rnacentral:rRNA from 1 species
GGGUGCGAUCAUACCAGCACUAAAGCACCGGAUCCCAUCAGAACUCCGAAGUUAAGCGUGCUUGGGCGAGAGUAGUACUAGGAUGGGCGACCUCCUGGGAAGUCCUCGUGUUGCACUCCU